UACGUAGGGUGCGAGCGUUAAUCGGAAUUACUGGGCGUAAAGCGUGCGCAGGCGGUUUUGUAAGCCAGAUGUGAAAUCCCCGGGCUCAACCUGGGAAUGGCAUUGGACGUGCAAGGCUGGAGUACGGCAGAGGAGACUGGAAUUCCUGGUGUAGCAGUGAAAUGCGUAGAGAUCAGGAGGAAUACCGAUGGCGAAGGCAGGUCUCUGGGCUGAUACUGACGCUCAUGCACGAAAGCGUGGGGAGCAAACAGG
rnacentral:rRNA from 1 species